UGUUUAAAAGGAAGCAACAAGUGGGUGAGUAUGCAGGUUGUGAGAAGGGAAAGGGGGUUGGGUUAGUUAUUUUGGAAGUGACCUGACGGAAAUGUGUCCUACCCCACAGAGGAUGCAGAUAAUGUUGUGAAGUUGCACAAACACGCAAAUACUUGCAGUAUGUCCACAUAGGUUAUCAUUGUAUCCUGGAAGGAUUCUCAUUGUGAAAUUAUUUUUAUCAAUAUUAUUUAUUUCUUCAGCCAUCACCUUAUCAUGGUGGAGAGGUUUGUGUCUCCAGAGGAUCCUUCCCUGGAGCUUUUUGCCCAUGGCAUGUUCACCCAUGGGAACCAGGUCCUAGGUAGGGACCAGAGAGAGCACAGCCUCGAAAACCCCUAUCCUGUUGAAAAAUGCAGGAAGAAAAUUUCCCUUGCCUGGAUGCCGAUCACCAGUCCCCCCCUCAAGAGCCAGGCCUGUUGGCGGGGCUCAAAGGCAAGUGCCUGAUGGCUGGUCCUGCACCCAAGGCUCCCCAACCAGGCACAGCCCGAAAGAGUAACGUGGGUCCUCAUUCCCAUGGGCUCACCACCUAUGGGAGGAGCCAUAUGGGUCAGGGGCAGUCUGAGCUGGGUGGUGGCCGAAGGCAGGGACCUUAGCAAUCAAAUUCACGGCUACAGAAGCUGGCUCUCAGGAGGUGGAAUGUCACCAUCCUGGUACAAGCGGGCAAAAUGACUUUCUUCCGCAGGGUGUCCAGACUCUCCUUUAGAGAUAGAGUUAGAAUCUUGGUCAUCCGGGAGGGGCUCAGAGUAGAGCCACUGCCCCUCAACAUCAAGAGGAUCCAGAUGAGGAUAUUUUCUGGACGCCUCCGUGGUGAGGUGUUGUCGGCACAUCCCACCGAGAGGAGACCCCUGGGACGAUCGAGAGGCUGCUGAACGUCUCUGGUGGCCUGUGAAUACCACCCAUAUCCUUAUACUGUCCACAGAUGCCUCAGGAAAAUGAAGAGAUAAUGAAGGAGUUAAAGGUCUUCACGUGUGGUCUCACCUAAAAGAGAAGAAUUAAUAUCACAGCUGGAAGGUGGUGAACUCUGUGGCGGGGGCCAUUAGUUCUCUUCUAGGACCCUGGAGUAAUCAGUCCGUCAACAGAGGUGACGUCCAGCUAAUUUCCCACCCCUCUUCUCUCGCCCUGCCCGUUCCCAAGACAGAUGCUUUUGGUAAUAAGGCUAAUCAAUAGACUUCCUCACAGAGUCACCCCGACAAGCGACGUUAUCAUACAUUUGUCAUCAGGAAUGUCACUUUUCUUAUCAGCCAUCAACAUCUUGUUGAUGCGCUUUCUUCACACACAGACACGUGCGUAGACUAAAUACAUCGGUAUAUUCAAAAGACAACAUUUAA